GUCUCAGUUCGGAUUGUGUCUGCAACUCGACUACAUGAAGCUGGAAUCGCUAGUAACCGCGAAUCAGAAUGUCGCGGUGAAUACGUUCCCGGGUCUUGUACACACCGCCCGUCACACCAUGGGAGUCAGCAACGCCCGAAGCCGGUGACCCAACCGAAAGGAGGGAGCCGUCGAAGGUGGGGCCGAUAACUGGGGUGAAGUCGUAACAAGGUACC
rnacentral:rRNA from 1 species